UGAGGAAUAUUGGGCAAUGCCCGCAAGGGUGACCCAGCAACGCCGCGUGGAGGAUGAAUGUCGUAAGAUUGUAAACUCCUGUUAGAGGGGAAGAAUAGUACCGGUUGGACCGGUAUAUGACUGUACCCUCAGAGAAAGCCCCGGCUAACUACGUGCCAGCAGCCGCGGUAAUACGUAGGGGGCAAGCGUUGUCCGGAUUUACUGGGUGUAAAGGGCGCGCAGGCGGGAUAAAAAGUCAGUGGUGAAAUCCUACAGCUUAACUGUAGAACUGCCUUUGAUACUUUUAUUCUUGAGUUCGGGAGAGAGAGACGGAAUUCCAGGUGUAGUGGUGAAAUACGUAGAUAUCUGGAAGAACACCAGUUGCGAAGGCGGUCUCUUGGUCCGACACUGACGCUGAGGCGCGAAAGCGUG
rnacentral:rRNA from 1 species